AUGGGGUGGACCCACGUGGGAGGGCUCCGGGCGGCCGUGACCCUGCUGGAGUCCGGGGGGGACCUCCAGCCCCCCGGGGGGUCCCUGCGCCUCCUCUGCCGAGGGUCUGGGUUCAGUUUCGGCAGUUUUGGGGUGGGCUGGAUCCGCCAGAGACCCGGGCAGGCGCUGGAAUUUGUUGCAAGCAUCAACGACAAUGGUGCCAGCAUCUACUACGCGCCCUCAGUCAAGGGCCGGUUCACGAUCUCCAGGGACAACGGGCAGAGCUCGGUGACGCUGACCAUGAACAACCUCAAGAACGAGGAUUCCGGAUCCUAUUUCUGUGCCAGACGUGACAAUGGUUAUGCUCCUGCUGGUGCUGCCGCUGGUUCCGUCCCCACCCCGAGUGCCCUGUAG